rnacentral:rRNA from 1 species
GAUGAACGCUAGCGGCAGGCUUAAUACAUGCAAGUCGAGGGGCAGCAUGGUGUAGCAAUACACUGAUGGCGACCGGCAAACGGGUGCGGAACACGUACGCAACCUUCCCGAAACUGGUGAAUAGCCCUCCGAAAGGAGGAUUAAUACACCGUAACAUAUAGAAAUGGCAUCAUUUUUAUAUUAUAGCUCCGGCGGUUUUGGAUGGGCGUGCGACUGAUUAGGUAGUUGGCGGGGUAACGGCCCACCAAGCCUACGAUCAGUAACUGGUGUGAGAGCACGACCAGUCACACGGGCACUGAGACACGGGCCCGACUCCUACGGGAGGCAGCAGUAAGGAAUAUUGGUCAAUGGACGAAAGUCUGACCAGCCAUGCCGCGUGAAGGAUGAAGUCCGUCUGGAUUGUAAACUUCUUUUAUCUGGGACGAAAAAGGGACAUUCAUGCUC